rnacentral:rRNA from 1 species
UACGUAGGGUGCAAGCGUUGUCCGGAAUUAUUGGGCGUAAAGAGCUCGUAGGCGGUUCGUCGCGUCGGCUGUGAAAUCCCGAGGCUCAACCUCGGGUCUGCAGUCGAUACGGGCGGACUGGAGUUCGGCAGGGGAGACUGGAAUUCCUGGCGUAGCGGUGAAAUGCGCAGAUAUCAGGAGGAACACCGGUGGCGAAGGCGGGUCUCUGGGCCGAUACUGACGCUGAGGAGCGAAAGCGUGGGGAGCAAACAGG